UGGGAGGCAGGCUGACUCCACGCUUGGGUGUCGUAAGCCUGGAAGUGCUGUGGCUCAAAGGGUUGGUUUUGGGCUGUGGCUCCAGGAUCCUGGGGUACACCCUGACUUGGUGGCCAGAAUGGCCCCUGGGUGGACAGCCUGGCCUGGAACUAUACUCCCUCCCAGGACAGUGUCCCAGGGAGGUGCAGGGAGCACCAGGGGGGGCCCAAGGAGUCCCCAUCCUGACGGCCCAGGACUCGUGGUCCUUCCCCUUAUGCUGGCCCCGGAGCUGACCUCCUUGUGGGAUGUCCCUUGCCUGCCUCCUGCACAGCAGUCGGGGGUGGGACUGGUGCAGGCACAAACCUGCACAGCAUUGAGCAAGUCACUUCCUUCUGGGAUUAGGAAAUGCCCUGCCCUGUACCCCUCACCACGUUGGGUCCACAGCAACUUCCCCAUUUGCAUGCAGGGCCUGGGGGCAGGGAGCCCUGGGCUGCCACUGGCUGCGGGAGCCUCUUCUUGGAAGGAUGCCUCCAGAUGGGGUGGGCGACACCCCGAUUGGGGGGUUGGUGGGAGAUGCCCUCUAACCCCCAGUGUGUCCAGGUGCUGGACAGCCAGCAACAUGGUCCCUGCCCCCCCAAGACCAAGGGGUGCCUGUGAACCUGAACCAGGCAACAGGCUGGGGCGGGGGAGGGGUCCUCACGGCCCCAAACCAGGAAGGGACUCCAGGGGGCAGCACAGUGCUCCCAGAGGGACAGAGGGACCAGAGGGCCCAUGUAGUUGUUUCCCAGAGGUUAAAGCCCAGGGGCAGACACAGCUGUGAGAUGUUGCCCCCAGGGCUCGUGUGAAAGGGCCAUACUGCCCAACAGGUGGGCCCCAAGAGGGGCGUGCCCCGCCAGGCCAGCCCCCAGGGCUGUCUUGACCAGGCGGUUGGUGUCCACCUUCCUUUGCUGUCCUGAUUACCGCACAGACAGCAGCCUGUGGGGUGACGCCUGGGAUUGGGGGACCCCAGGGGACUGGCAGGUUCAUAUUGUUAAUCCGGAGACCGUAAGGUUCACAUCUCUGGGCUUGGAGAUGAUGGAAGCCAAGAGGCUUGUGUGGGCCACACACAGCUGGGACAGGACCCGGCCCCUCCAUGCCCCGGGGGAACCCACCUACCUGAGGGCUGGCACCCCCCGCAUGUGGCUCGGGACCGUGCGCCUGCUGUCAGAGUCCCGGCCGCCUCCCACUCCCCGCCCAGCCCCCCAGUGGCUCUACUCUCCUGCUGACUCACCAAGGAGCGGGGACUGCGGUCGGAGCAGGAAGGUGGAGCAAGGCCUUCCCCUCCUGCAGGCUGGAGGAGCGCUCAUGCUUGGCACGAAGCCCAGCCCCACUGGCUCAGCCCCAGGCCAAGGCCUGGCUGCCGCCCUCCUGCCCUCCACUCUGGCCUGCGGAAGACUGGAACACCUGUCCUUCACCUGGUGUCUCUCUUCACGGUACCUCCAUGUCCUCCAUGCCCUGGGCCCGGAAUGCUCCACACUGAGAUUAGGGGGACUCGCAGGGGCUGUGACAUCAGGUCAGCCGAGCUUGAUCCUGGGCAGCAGGAUCAAGGAACAAGGUGUUGCACUCAGCAGGGACACGGAGCCCAGCUGAGUGUAGGGUCAGGUACGCGGUGUCGCGGCGCCAUCAGCCAGGCCAUCAGGCAGCCCUCCUGGCAGAUGAGAUGUGAGUGGUGGCUGAGGCAGAGAAGGCGGAGGCCCAGCUAGGAAGCCGGACCACAGGGGUGGGUGGUUCCCUUCGGCCACUGAGGGGGCAGAGACUGGACCAGGGAGGGACAGGGCUGGUGGCUCCAUUGGCUUGUGGGGGCACUAUCUCCCGUGUCCCUCCCUCACCUGCAUUCACGGAGCACCCGCUCUGUUCCAGGCACUGUUCCAGGCACUGGGAUUGGGCCGGCCAAGCGGUUAAUGUGUUUAUUUUUCUGGGAGCCUGAACACAUCCCAGCCUCUCUAGGUGUCCAGGGUCAUUUCUGGAGAUCAAGGCAGAGCCUGUCCCCUGUGUCUGGAUGCACAGGGGAAAUCGAGCUGGGACCAGCAGCAGACGCGCUGAGCAGACAGCCCUC